AUGCUUUAAUGCACAUGUUUGGAUUUUGAAAGAUGGGCUUACCAUAUCUUAGUGAGAGAAUAGUUUAUUAGAAAGGUGUGGGACAACAGCAUGGGGAAUGACAAAAAGAUUCUUAUUAAUUUGCCCAGUGGCCUCAUCAGGAAGUUGGCAUCUGAACAAAGACUUGAAGUAGUUAAAAACAUUACCCCACAUUAUAACCUGGAGGACAACAUUUUCAGGCAGAGCAAAUAACCAGUGUCAAAUUCUAAAGCAGAGGUGUACCUGGUUUCUCCCCAGAAAUAGCAAGGAAACCAGUAUGGUUUCAGCAUAUUUAGGAAAAAGAAUAGUUGGUAGAAAAUUAGUCCAAAGAGAAAAUGGGGUGAGGGGGAAAGAGGAUUAUGCAGAGUUCUAUAGGCAUGCCUUUGUGGACUUUAUUGCAGUGGAACGGAGAACCAUGGAGGAGCUGCAAGAAGAGCAGUGUGACGUAAUUUGUGUUCAAAAAGGAUUGGUCUUAUUUCUGUGUUGAGAACACACUGCGGUGAGCAAGAGAAGGAGCAAAGAGUACAGCUGAGAGGCCAUUUGAGGACCAAGAGAUAAAGGAAACCAAGGAUCUGGGACUGAAGGGAGCACCAGGGCAGGACUAAAAGCAAGAGUUUUGACUUCUCUCCCAGCUGUCAGUGCUUGUAAACAAUUCUCACACUUCAAGGAUUGGAAGACAAAUCCCUUUUUAGAAUUAGGGAUAGCCCCUGGGAGUGGGAAGUAUAAAAUGGCAUUUGUUUCCAGAAUGUGACUAUUACUGACAUCUAAUCAACCAAACCUGUUUAUCCUUCCUGGACAUGCACCCAGACUACAAUUACCAGCCCCCUUUGCAGUUAUAAUUAGGUAAGUAUUUGAUUUCAGACCAAUAAACAAAGGUAGAAAUUAUGUGAGCUACUGGCCGGCUUAUCACAUGAUAAUCUCUCAUGUGUAAUUCUCCAUGUUUGCCAUCCUUGGGGGUGGAUAUGACUUCCAGGGUUACCUUAAUAGAUGCAAUUUUAUUGACAAUUGACCUACCAAAAUCGAAAUUUCAUGUGGUUAAAUCACAUAAUAUGGAGAAAUACAAAAAUAGAAGAGACUCAAUUUCAAACCAACAUUUGGAAGACAUGACUCAACCAAAAGGCCAUUGGACAAUUUUAAGACCAAAAUUAAAAAAAAAAAAAGCAACUUUGUGAAGACACUAAGAUUUGAGAACUCAUUGGCUCCAAUUCCCCACCUAACGUGUCUAAAAUAUGUACUGAGUUUUCUUUACCCUGAUUCUACUACAUAUUUAAAGUAAAAAAUUUUUAAGCUCUAUGUUAUAGCCUUAAUUUUCAUUCUGAGAAGAUUUUUCCAAGGUUAAAAGUGCAAGAGAUGUGUUACAGGACAGAGUAUGAGCAGAUGAGGAGAGCCUUCAGACUGUAAUGCGAGUUAGUAUCUGUGAGAAAAGAAAGGGAAGGAGGUAGACAUGGGUGGGAGGAGCGUAUGAGUGUAGAACAAUGCCAAGAAAGGUCUAGCCAGCUUAAUGCAGACAUCCUGAGCCAAGGUUGUCCAAAAGGGAAGUCUGCACCUCGCCCUAAUGGGCAUGCUUUAGAACUGCUACAAUGCUCAGCCAUUGCCUGGCAGAAGUCCAUCACAACUGCGGCCUCAGCCUGAAUACAGUGGUUGAUUCAGAGAAGCAGCAUCUGGGAAUAUCAGCACAUCACGGUUGUCCCAGUAGGAAAUUCAAGCAACUUAUUUUCCUGGCUGCUACAGUCCAUCCCUGGGGCUCAUUAGAAUUUUGGCUGCUUAGCGUAGGACAAUAGGACAAGUAACGCAACACCCGUUAAGAAAGAACGGAAACAGCGAAAACAACAUACGUUUCGACCCCUCCUGCAGUCUACAUGCUAGCCUUACAUUUACUCAUAAACAAAAAUAGAAGUUCUUGCAUUUCUUCUGCAGAUUAUCCUAGCUCCUAGAAAGGAACAUCGGCCUUCUAGGGGCGAUUUCCCUGAGACAGACAGACUACUACAGGAAACAACAAAUGAGACAUUGACUAAUAGUUGGCUCUUACAGGCCCAAAGUAUUAGGAUUACAAUGCCAAUUACAGUUUCCUGCUGGAAAAUAAGAAAUUGAGUUAAUGUAUCUAGAUACCUUUUAACAAAUACUUCUUUAAAAAAAAAAAUCAUGGGGCACCUGGGUGGCUCAGUCGGUUGAGCGUCCAACUUCGGCUCAGGUCACGAUCUCAUGGUCCAUGAGUUCGAGCCCCACAUUGGGCUCUGUGCUGCCAGCUCAGAGCCUGGAGCCUGCUUUGGAUUCUGUGUCUCCCUCUCUCUCUGCUCCUCCCCUGCUUGCAAUCUGUCUGUCUCUGU